rnacentral:misc_RNA from 1 species
GAUGAAGAACGCAGCGAAAUGCGAUAAGUAAUGUGAAUUGCAGAAUUCAGUGAAUCAUCGAAUCUUUGAACGCACAUUGCGCCCGCCAGUAUUCUGGCGGGCAUGCCUGUCUGAGCGUCAUUUCAACCCUCAUGCCCCUAGGGCGUGGUGUUGGGGAUCGGCCAAAGCCCGCGAGGGACGGCCGGCCCCUAAAUCUAGUGGCGGACCCGUCGUGGCCUCCUCUGCGAAGUAGUGAUAUUCCGCAUCGGAGAGCGACGAGCCCCUGCCGUUAAACCCCCAACUUUCCAAGGUUGACCUCAGAUCAGGUAGGAAUACCCGCUGAACUUAAGCAUAUUAAAUAAGCGGAGGA